rnacentral:rRNA from 1 species
AUUGAACGCUGGCGGCAGGCCUAACACAUGCAAGUCGAACGAGUGGCGGACGGGUGAGUAAUGUCUGGGAAACUGCCUGAUGGAGGGGGAUAACUACUGGAAACGGUAGCUAAUACCGCAUACCAUCGGAUGUGCCCAGAUGGGAUUAGCUAGUGGGUGGGGUAAAGGCUCACCUAGGCGACGAUCCCUAGCUGGCCUGAGAGGAUGACCGGCCACACUGGAACUGAGACACGGUCCAGACUCCUACGGGAGGCAGCAGUAGGGAAUAUUGCGCAAUGGGCGAAAGCCUGAUGCAGCCAUGCCGCGUGUAUGAAGAAGGCCUUCGGGUUGUAAAGUACUUUCAGCGGGGAGGCGUUACCCGCAGAGGAAGCACCGGCUAACUCCGUGCCAGCAGCCGCGGUAAUAC